rnacentral:rRNA from 1 species
GGACGGUACAACGAGUCGCAAGCUCGCGAGAGUAAGCUAAUCUCUUAAAGCCGUUCUCAGUUCGGACUGUAGGCUGCAACUCGCCUACACGAAGUCGGAAUCGCUAGUAAUCGCGGAUCAGCAUGCCGCGGUGAAUACGUUCCCGGGCCUUGUACACACCGCCCGUCACACCAUGGGAGUUUGUAACGCCCAAAGUCGGUGGCCUAACCUUUAUGGAGGGAGCCGCCUAAGGCGGGACAGAUGACUGGGGUGAAGUCGUAACAAGGUAAC